UUUUUGCUAUUUCAAUGUCAAAACUUUACUGCAACAAAUCUCCACCGCUAAAGAAAAGAGCUAGGUAAGAAGGACACGUUUUAAUUUGUUGUUCUCUUUAAAGUAUUUGUCUAUAUAAACAAACAUGGAUGCGCUUCAUCAUUACAUCACUUCCCCCUUCUACAGAGAAAAUCACAAGUAAUAUUCAAAGUCUUUUUCUUUUAGUUAAGUUUUCAUUCUUUUAAUUCAUUAGGAACGAGGAAGGAAAGAGACUUACACGGUAGGUGACACAGAUGGAAGACAAUAGUAAAGCUGAAGGAGAACAGAAAGAAUCGUUUGAUAUUGUCUCCAUCUGUGUCACUUCUACUGUGUAAGUCUUCUUUCCUUCCUCGUUUGUCUUCAGCGAUCGUUUGAUUUACGAACAAUGCCCUAAACAAGAGUCGUUUGAUAUAAAUACUUCUUCAGACCUAAAUUAGCUAAAUCCCCAAAAUAUUAAUAUAGUCUGGAAGAUAGUGAUCAAUAUCUGAAAUUUUCAGCUUGAUUGAGUUGAGGAAGAUUUUUGGCUUGUAUAGAUCAGUAUGAUGGCCAGAUCUGAAAUUUUCGGCUUGAUUGAGUUGAGGAAGAUUUUUGGCUUGUAUAGAUCAGUAUGAUGGCCAGAUCUGAAAUUUUGUUGUGGCCUGUGUUCGUUUCCAGGACAGCUGGUCUGGGAGAUCGUCAAGAGAAACAACUGUUUCUUGGUGAAGCAGUUCGGCAGAGGUAACGCCAAGGUUCAGUUCAUCAAAGAGAAAAACAACCUCGUCAACCUCAACUCUUACAAGCAGUCUGGUAACAGGUACAGCUGAACCAAACGAGUCCAGUGUAGCAACACUUGUGAAGGAAGUGGCUCUUCUUCAGAGCAGAUUCUCGUCUUGCUAAGCACUUCCUGCAUCUGCGAGCAGUGGGGGCAUCACUUUUGCCCUUGAGCAUGCCAGAGCUGCUAUAGCUUCCCAGAUCAGGUGGCGUGAAGGUGACGUCUACAUGGAGACUUGUCCAAUAUGCUGUGAAGACGUCCCAUGUGAUGACAAGUUUGAGGAACCUGGUUGUUUCCACCGCUUCAGCGUUGCUUGCAUUAAGAGACAAGUCGACGAGGCACUAGAGUGGCAUAAACCAGUAAAGUGCCCAAGCUUGGGUUGCAACUCGGUACUACAGAGCGAGGAUUGUGAAGGUGUUUUGGAUCCCGUGCGGCUUAGACACAUGACUGAAUAUCUUUCGGAGGCUGCGCUGCUUGAUCAUAUGACCCGAAAAAGGGAGAACAGAGUACACUGUGCGUCACCCGAAUGUACCGUUUUAAUGCCCAAGGCCAAAAUCACUGAGUAUUCAAAAAAAGUUCUUCGUUGAUGCUGAGCUGUCAGGAGGAGCCAGAAAGUGCAUGGACUGUGGGUUUUGUUACUGCGACAACUGCAGAACAGAAUGGCACUAUAACAUGACAUGUGAUGAAUUCCGUGAAACAGAGACUUAUAAGACAUCUCCUGCGGGAUGUUACGAAGCUAAGGCUAAGAGAUUAGGAUGGAGGAGAUGCAGGAAUUGCAAGACGAUGCUUGCAAAUGAUGGUGAUAGAGGUUGCAACCGUAUUACCUGCUCCAGAUGCGGAUACCAGUUCUGUUACGUCUGUGAAGCUGAGUGGAACAAGGAAACCGGAUGUUGUUCUGUUCCUAGGGAACGGGUUUGGGUUUGGUGGAGUCAGUCAUAUGAGUUUGUGUUGAGGGGGUUUAAUUAGUGAUCCUAUAUAGAAGAAAUGUUGUGACAGGAAAAAGAGUUCGGUUUAAUAAUCUUUGGUUAAUUAAUAUCCUUGUUUAGUUAUGUAUUUUGGUUUGUUUAUUGGGUUUUAGCAAACGCAUAACCUUUUUUUAAUUUAUCCAUUUGCGAGGGUUAAAAAAACAACAAGCUGGUUGAAAAAAAAAAAAACAAGCCAAAUCGUAAAAAAAUCCAGAAGAUUAUAUUGGGCUUAGUCAGGCCGGAAUUAAAUACAAGGCCCGAUCGUUUGAUAUACGAACGAUACCCUAAACAAGUAUCGUUUGAUGCUAAAUCCCUAAAUUAUUAAUUCAUAUUUUUACAGCAAAUUCACCUUACGAAUCAGUCGGAGCCUAAAACCUAGCAAGCCGCUCUUGUCAACUUCUCCAUGGACGAAUCCGUCAACAAGGGGAUGAAAUCGCUGUCACUUAAGGAUAGUAGUGAUGCAGCCAUUUCAAAAAGCCGUGAGAUAGGGAGAAUAUUCGCUUCGGGAUAUGACACUGAUCUUACUCGUGAUGUUGUCGAGAGCGCUCUGAGAAAACAUUUCGCUUCAUGUG